rnacentral:rRNA from 1 species
GGUUAAGCGACUAAGCGUACACGGUGGAUGCCCUGGCAGUCAGAGGCGAUGAAGGACGUGCUAAUCUGCGAAAAGCGCCGGCGAGGUGAUAUGAACCUUUGACCCGGCGAUGUCCGAAUGGGGAAACCCAGUGCAAUCCGUUGCACUAUCGUUAACUGAAUACAUAGGUUAACGAGGCGAACCGGGGGAACUGAAACAUCUAAGUACCCCGAGGAAAAGAAAUCAACCGAGAUUCCCCCAGUAGCGGCGAGCGAACGGGGAGCAGCCCGGAGUCUGAAUCAGCUUGUGUGUUAGUGGAACGGUCUGGAAAGUCCGACGGUACAGGGUGAUAGUCCCGUACACGAAAGCACACAUGCUGUGAACUCGAAGAGUAGGGCGGGACACGUGGUAUCCUGUCUGAAUAUGGGGGGACCAUCCUCCAAGGCUAAAUACUCCUGACUGACCGAUAGUGAACCAGUACCGUGAGGGAAAGGCGAAAAGAACCCCGGCGAGGGGAGUGAAAAAGAACCUGAAACCGUGUACGUACAAGCAGUGGGAGCCUCUUUAUGGGGUGACUGCGUACCUUUUGUAUAAUGGGUCAGCGACUUAUAUUCUGUAGCAAGGUUAACCGUAUAGGGGAGCCGAAGGGAAACCGAGUCUUAACUGGGCGUUAAGUUGCAGGGUAUAGACCCGAAACCCGGUGAUCUAGCCAUGGGCAGGUUGAAGGUUGGGUAACACUAACUGGAGGACCGAACCGACUAAUGUUGAAAAAUUAGCGGAUGACCUGUGGCUGGGGGUGAAAGGCCAAUCAAACCGGGAGAUAGCUGGUUCUCCCCGAAAGCUAUUUAGGUAGCGCCUCGUGAACUCAUCUUCGGGGGUAGAGCACUGUUUCGGCUAGGGGGCCAUCCCGGCUUACCAACCCGAUGCAAACUACGAAUACCGAAGAAUGUUAUCACGGGAGACACACGGCGGGUGCUAACGUCCGUCGUGAAGAGGGAAACAACCCAGACCGCCAGCUAAGGUCCCAAAGUCAUGGUUAAGUGGGAAACGAUGUGGGAAGGCACAGACAGCCAGGAUGUUGGCUUAGAAGCAGCCAUCAUUUAAAGAAAGCGUAAUAGCUCACUGGUCGAGUCGGCCUGCGCGGAAGAUGUAACGGGGCUAAACCAUGCACCGAAGCUGCGGCAGCGACACUAUGUGUUGUUGGGUAGGGGAGCGUUCUGUAAGCCGUUGAAGGUGUGCUGUGAGGCAUGCUGGAGGUAUCAGAAGUGCGAAUGCUGACAUAAGUAACGAUAAAGCGGGUGAAAAGCCCGCUCGCCGGAAGACCAAGGGUUCCUGUCCAACGUUAAUCGGGGCAGGGUGAGUCGACCCCUAAGGCGAGGCCGAAAGGCGUAGUCGAUGGGAAACAGGUUAAUAUUCCUGUACUUGGUGUUACUGCGAAGGGGGACGGAGAAGGCUAUGUCAGCCGGGCGACGGUUGUCCCGGUUUAAGCAUGUAGGCGGAGGUUCCAGGUAAAUCCGGUACCUUGUUAACGCUGAGGUGUGAUGACGAGGCACUACGGUGCUGAAGUGAUAAAUGCCCUGCUUCCAGGAAAAGCCUCUAAGCAUCAGGUAACACGAAAUCGUACCCCAAACCGACACAGGUGGUCAGGUAGAGAAUACCAAGGCGCUUGAGAGAACUCGGGUGAAGGAACUAGGCAAAAUGGUGCCGUAACUUCGGGAGAAGGCACGCUGAUAGGUAGGUGAAGCCCCUGCGGGCGGAGCUGAAAUCAGUCGAAGAUACCAGCUGGCUGCAACUGUUUAUUAAAAACACAGCACUGUGCAAACACGAAAGUGGACGUAUACGGUGUGACGCCUGCCCGGUGCCGGAAGGUUAAUUGAUGGGGUUAGCGGCAACGCGAAGCUCUUGAUCGAAGCCCCGGUAAACGGCGGCCGUAACUAUAACGGUCCUAAGGUAGCGAAAUUCCUUGUCGGGUAAGUUCCGACCUGCACGAAUGGCGUAAUGAUGGCCAGGCUGUCUCCACCCGAGACUCAGUGAAAUUGAACUCGCUGUGAAGAUGCAGUGUACCCGCGGCAAGACGGAAAGACCCCGUGAACCUUUACUAUAGCUUGACACUGAACACUGGUCCUUGAUGUGUAGGAUAGGUGGGAGGCUUUGAAGCGUGGACGCCAGUCUGCGUGGAGCCAACCUUGAAAUACCACCCUUUAAUGGCUGGUGUUCUAACGUAGACCCGUAAUCCGGGUUGCGGACAGUGUCUGGUGGGUAGUUUGACUGGGGCGGUCUCCUCCCAAAGAGUAACGGAGGAGCACGAAGGUUGGCUAAUCCUGGUCGGACAUCAGGAGGUUAGUGCAAUGGCAUAAGCCAGCUUGACUGCGAGCGUGACGGCGCGAGCAGGUGCGAAAGCAGGUCAUAGUGAUCCGGUGGUUCUGAAUGGAAGGGCCAUCGCUCAACGGAUAAAAGGUACUCCGGGGAUAACAGGCUGAUACCGCCCAAGAGUUCAUAUCGACGGCGGUGUUUGGCACCUCGAUGUCGGCUCAUCACAUCCUGGGGCUGAAGUAGGUCCCAAGGGUAUGGCUGUUCGCCAUUUAAAGUGGUACGCGAGCUGGGUUUAGAACGUCGUGAGACAGUUCGGUCCCUAUCUGCCGUGGGCGCUGGAGAAUUGAGGGGGCUGCUCCUAGUACGAGAGGACCGGAGUGGACGCAUCACUGGUGUUCGGGUUGUCAUGCCAAUGGCACUGCCCGGUAGCUAAAUGCGGAAGAGAUAAGUGCUGAAAGCAUCUAAGCACGAAACUUGCCCCGAGAUGAGUUCUCCCUGAGACCUUGAGUCUCCUGAAGGAACGUUGAAGACGACGACGUUGAUAGGUCGGGUGUGUAAGCGCAGCGAUGCGUUGAGCUAACCGAUACUAAUGAACCGUGAGGCUUAACCUU